rnacentral:rRNA from 1 species
GUGCCAGCAGCCGCGGUAAUACCGGCAGCCCAAGUGAUGGCCGCUGUUAUUGGGCCUAAAGCGUCCGUAGCUGGCCGCACAAGUCCGUCGGGAAAUCCGCCCGCUCAACGGGCGGCCGUCCGGCGGAACCUGUGUGGCUUGGGACCGGGAGGCCUGAGGGGUACGAUCGGGGUAGGAGUGAAAUCCCGUAAUCCCGGACGGACUACCGAUGGCGAAAGCACUCUGAGAAGACGGCUUCGACAGUGAGGGACGAAAGCUCGGGUCUCAAACCGGAUUAGAACCCCGGUAGUCC